AUUGAACGCUGGCGGCAGGCCUAACACAUGCAAGUCGAACGAGUGGCGGACGGGUGAGUAAUGUCUGGGAAACUGCCUGAUGGAGGGGGAUAACUACUGGAAACGGUAGCUAAUACCGCAUACCAUCAGAGGUGCCCAGAUGGGAUUGGCUUGUUGGUGGGGUAACAGCUCACCAUGGCGACGAUCCCUAGCUGGUCUGAGAGGAUGACCAGCCACACGGGAACUGAGACACAGCCCCGGUUCCGACGAGAGUCAUCCGUGGCGAAUGGUGCACAAUGGGCGCGAGCCUGGUGCAGCCCUACCGCGUGUAUGAAGAAGGCCUUCGGGUUGUAAAGUACUGUCAGCGGAGAGGCGUUGCCCGCAGAAGGAGCACCGGCUAACUCCGUGCCAGCCGCCGCGGUAAUUC
rnacentral:rRNA from 1 species